AGUGAACGCUGGCGGUAGGCCUAACACAUGCAAGUCGAACGGCAGCACAGUAAGAGCUUGCUCUUACGGGUGGCGAGUGGCGGACGGGUGAGGAAUACAUCGGAAUCUACUUUUUCGUGGGGGAUAACGUAGGGAAACUUACGCUAAUACCGCAUACGACCUACGGGUGAAAGCAGGGGAUCUUCGGACCUUGCGCGAUUGAAUGAGCCGAUGUCGGAUUAGCUAGUUGGCGGGGUAAAGGCCCACCAAGGCGACGAUCCGUAGCUGGUCUGAGAGGAUGAUCAGCCACACUGGAACUGAGACACGGUCCAGACUCCUACGGGAGGCAGCAGUGGGGAAUAUUCGACAAUGGGCGCAAGCCUGACCCAGCCAUACCGCGUGGGUGAAGAAGGCCUUCGGGUCGUAAAGCCCUUUUGUUGGGAAAGAAAGGCAGCAGGUUAAUACCCCGCUGUUCUGACGGUACCCAAAGAAUAAGCACCGGCUAACUUCGUG
rnacentral:rRNA from 1 species